UCUUCUAUCUCAAUGCUAAAAUUAUAUUUUUUUUUUUAGUUUUGUGUUCUUUUUUUUCCAUUACUAUUUACACUUGUUGUACAUUAUUACUAGUUGGGUGUUUCAAUUUUAUCUUAUAUUAUAAUCCAACUCUAUUUCUAGAUUUCAGGUACAGAUUGGUAUUGAAGGUUUGUGUUUGAUGAAGAUUGAGAAAGAUUGCAAAAAAUAUAGGUUCAUGGUGCAUUGAUGAUAGUGUAUAUAAGAGGUAUGAUUUUUUUCUUCCUUAUUAUAUCCUUGGGCAUGUUGUAUGUGUGUAGGCCAUUUAACAUUUCUACAUAUUCAUCAUGCAUGAUUAAUAUUCUGUGAUAAUGUGUUGUACUAACCUAGCUAAUAAUGUUGAUAUGCAAAAUGAUAAUUAAGAACAACACUGUGUCCAGCAAAUUGUUAAGAUUUUAUGCUUCUUAGCUAAGUAAUGUAGACAUUAUAACCCUUAGAACUCAACCAUUCCCUAUCUAAGAAUAUCUAAGGAUAUGGGUUUUCAAGAUUUUCACUUG
rnacentral:lncRNA from 1 species